ACCUGACUGGGUGCUUGAGGGAGAUCCCGGUGAAAUGUGCUGAGGUUUCUGCAGUGGGGAGCACUAUCUCAGCUCCAUGGCCUGGCGAGAAAUCAUAUUUAAAGAGAAGAAUCCUGGAGAUAUCAUUGCCUCAACCUAAAGAAAAGAAUCAACAAAAGAAUGAUCUCAAAGCAGAAGGUGCCAGCGGUGAGACCAGGAGGCAGAUAGUUUCAAAAUCACAUGUGUGUCACUGUCGUGAAAACAAAAGCCAGCUGCGACCAUAGAACUCACCGUCAUUUUAUUAAUAUGACUUUAUUAUUCCAAGAAAUUCUUGCCUAGAAGAUUAAAUUAAGAAUAACUUUAUUCUUAAUUUUUCAGGAAAUAUUCCUUAUUUCUGGAAGUUCUGGAAAAUCCAUUUUUUUUUCUAAAUAGACCACUCAGCUAGCCUCAUUAUCCCUUCUCAGUAUACCAGGUCUCUUGACGGCUCACCAUACAACUGACUACUACUCAAGACUCCAUUCAAAAUCUCACCUUGCUUCAUCUGUCUUACAAUAUUGUCAUGACCUUUGCCCAAUUCCAACCAAGUGCCCUCCCCAUACUCCCACCAGUAAAAGACUCACCUUAAAUCAGACCCCCAGAUGUCAUGAAUGUCUUUACCUGCUCCCCUCCCAGAUGCUAUUGAGACACUGUCAAGGGAAUGGUCUUCCUCAUUCUAGUAAGCAAUAAACUUGUCUCAGCUUCGGCCACAGUUUACUGAGGGUGAUAUCUUCAGGUAAUCAGCAGCCAAUACACCUAUGUGGUCUCCAGUGAGUGUUAUAAGUUGUGUGUGCAACAAUGUCACUCAAUACAUGUAAUUUGGAAAUGAGAAUUUUGCCAACUGAAAGGUGCAAUGUUUGGACAUGCUUACUGACUUUCCAGUGGAAAACCUGGGGUCAGAAAACAGACAUCUCAACUGCUUAUGAACAGCAGUUCUCGGAAGCUAGCAGAGACCUGCUCUCUCCAACCUACCCACCACCUCCAACUGAAAUGGGAAAGGUUCCCUUGUCCCCCUCGCAGGGCUUGUGAGAAGGGAAGUGACUCACUUCUUCAGUGCCCCACUGCUCUAGGGGAGCAUACAGAUGGGCAGGCUGUGGGGCUCCGACCCCAUGGCAGCAUCUAGGGGUGGAUGUUUACAGCUCCUGAAGCCCCAGUGGGCAUGUGUUACAGGGCGCUCUUUUAGUUUUGCCAUCUAUAGGCAGCUCGUGUUAACCAGUGCAAUUAGACUCUACCUUGUUGCAAGGACAGAGGGCUUUCUGUAUCCUGCGUUCUUGCCUUGGUAUACUGGAAGAAUUGGAUCACACGUGGGCUUGGAGAGUGAUUGCAAGGUUUUAUUGAGUGGAAGUAGCUCUCAGCAGAUGGGGGAGCUGGAAGGGAGAUGGUUUUCCCCUGGAGCCGGACUGCUCGGUGGCCUGGGCUCUCCUCCCACUGCCCCAGCCAAACUCUGAGUUGUUCUGCUGGUUGAUGGCCUGCUGGUGUCUGUCAGUGUGCUCUUCCACCAGCAUGCUCCCCUAGACAUCCUCUCAACAUCCAGCCACUUAUGUGUCUGCCUGCUAGGGUCUCAUGGGGGUUUGUAGACACAGAAUGGGGCAUGGUGGGCCAGGAUGGUCUUGGGAAAUGCAACAUUUAUGUGGGUGCCAAGGCAGGAGUGCCUGUCCUCACCUAGGUCCAUGGGCACAGGCCCGAGGGUGGAGCCCUCACCAGGGACCUGCCCUUCUCCUCCCAGCACUUCCCCGUCCCCAUCAUGUAUCACAACUACAUUGUAAUCACAGCUCUGAAACGCCAGAACUCUAUUUCACUGUCACUUCAUCCAUUACUAACUCUGGAAGUACAGAAAUAAUCUCAGCUACUUGGGAGGCUGAGGCAGAAGAAUCCCAUGAACCCAGGAGGCAGAGGUUGCAGUGAGCCAAGAUCACGCCAUUGACUCCAGCCUGGGCAACAAGAGCAAAACUCCAUCUCAAAAAAAAGAAGUGCCCUUCUGUUGCAAAGCAUAAAUGGUUUCUUGAGAGCAGAAGAAAGUUUUAUUGAACUUUUUAGGAUGGCCAGUCCUCUGUAAUCAAAUUGCAGCCUGCUAAGUUAGCAACUUUUUCUUUUCAUUGGGUGAAUACUUCUAUAUCUACUGAUGCAAUUCUGAAAAACGAACUUACUGUUGAUUUGAAAAUCUUCCAUGCUUUUUAUAUCAGGUUUUGUGAUUUAGCCAGAACCCAGAAGUGCCAUUGACCAUAAAGUGGUUUUGAAAAUAUGUUUGUAAUUUUGACCUUAGGCUGCAAUAGGUUACAGGGAUGUUUUCUUAAUUCAUUUUGCUGGAGCCCAGUCAAGUCCUCCUCAAAGGACUCUACUUUGGCUACAGCAAUAUUAGCUGUGAGAAAAAUUUCUAUUUAGACUUAAUAAAUGGAAAUAGAUAAUGGAGACUGGCAUUUAUUAAGGCUUUAUUAAAGGCUAGGAGGGCAGUAUGCCCUUAUUGGAUUAAAUCUUUGCAACAUCCCUAGAAAACAUGUGCUGUUGUCAUCACAAGUGGCCCAACUGGUUACUUAAGUCUUUAAAAAUUAAAUAACUUUUCCAAGGUCACGCAGCUAGUAAGUGGCUAUGUAGGGUAGGAUGCAUCUCAGUUUUGCUUGGCCAUGAAGUUCCUGCUUGCCACUACUAUGCUAUAUUGUAAGAUGCAAGUUCCUUAAGAACAAGGAGCAUAUCUCACAUUGUAUUUUUCUUAAGAGUAUGUUCAUCUGUAUACAUAUUACGCUAAAUCUAGUAUUGUCUUGAUUGAUUCAAAAAGCUAUGAAAGAUGUGAAUAGAUGAACACUGAAUAAAUACUAAAGAAGAUAACAAAUAAGUCAAAUAAGAGCAAAUGUUUUUUAUUUCCUCUCAAAAAUGUAAGCUGAAUCAUCAUGUAUAAAAGCCCAAGGAGGCAAAUUUCUUUUAUUCACUUAAUAAACUUUUAUUCACUCUGUA